GACGUAGGGCGCGAGCGUUGUCCGGAUUUAUUGGGCGUAAAGAGCUCGUAGGCGGCUUGUCGCGUCGGCUGUGAAAACCCGCGGCUCAACUGUGGGCGUGCGGUCGAUACGGGCAUCACUGGAGUUCGGCAGGGGAGACUGGAAUUCCUGGUGUAGCGGUGAAAUGCGUAGAGAUCGGGAGGAACAUCAGUUGCGAAGGCGGCUCUCUGGACCAGCACUGACACUGAGGCACGAAAGCGUGGGGAGCAAACAGG
rnacentral:rRNA from 1 species